rnacentral:tRNA from 1 species
GUAGGCGUAGUUUAAUAAAAACAUUAGAUUGUGAUUCUAAAAACAGAGGUUAAACCCCUUUCACCCACC